rnacentral:rRNA from 1 species
ACUUUACAAUGCUGGCAACAGCGAUAAGGGAACCUCGAGUGCCAGGUUACAAAUCUGGCUGUCGAGAUGCCUAAAAAGCAUUUCAUAGCAAGGGCCGGGCAAGACCGGUGCCAGCCGCCGCGGUAACACCGGCGGCUCGAGUGGUAACCGUUAUUAUUGGGUCUAAAGGGUCUGUAGCCGGCCGGAUAAGUCUCUUGAGAAAUCUGAUAGCUCAACUAUUAGGCUUUCGGGGAUACUGCCAGACUUGGAACCGGAGAGGUAAGAGGUACUACAGGGGUA